GAUGGGAGCGGGCUUGCUCGCGAAUGCGUUGGAUCAGUUGACCUAUCCGGUGACUGACUGACCGCUUUCGCGAGCAAGCCCGCUCCCACC
rnacentral:misc_RNA from 1 species